rnacentral:tRNA from 1 species
AUCAACUGCUGUGAGCUGCUCAAGCGCAACAAUCCCAGAGUCCCGAGGAGAUUACUAGCUAGCUGGGGAUUUUGAGCUCCCCAUGCCCCACUGAUGGUGGAUGAGCUUUUGGCAAAACAUCGCCGGGCAGAAGGACGAUAGUGCCGUGACUCGGAUUCGAACCGAGGUUGCUGCGGCCACAACGCAGAGUACUAACCACUAUACGAUCACGGCGAGCCACGAGCCCAGCGACAACUUUGUUGUGCUGGUGCUGUUGGCUCAGCCUCAGUUCCAAAUCGCCUGGUCCUGCCCUGCUCUCCCGACCCGCGUAGGCAAGCUGCCCGCCACGCUGGGCAUAGACCACUCUCUGGGAGAGCCCAGAAGAACUUGCCUGUUGGAAGCCCUGUCUCUGGGGUCUUGUGAGUCAAGGAGAGGGCUCUUGUGCCUCACAGGACUAUUUAAAAGUCGGCCAAAGGAAGACCAGGGGGAGGAGAGAGGCUGCUAAAAGGACUUUGCCUGACCGGGAAUCGAACCCGGGCCGCGGCGGUGAAAGCGCCGAAUCCUAGCCACUAGACCACCAGGGAGACAUAUGAGUCCCUCGAUCGACCACUUGAAGCAAACUCCACAGAGGACACUUGACUCGCUUUCCAAAGCCGACAGGCCAGGCAUGGAGCCCACCAUCGUCAUCUCUCCCAUCCACUGCCCGGGUGAAACCAGCAGACAGCGGAGCGCAUACGGAAUCCAUUCCGCUCCGGCCUUCGCACCAAGUGCGCCAGGAUGACACAUCUCUCCCUCCGAGUUUCGGGUUCCUCGUGGGUAAACUGUCGGUUUGACAGGGAGCACCCACCCCCACCCCGUCACCUCCAGCACUACAGCGCGCACGAUCCGAAGACCUCCAGGGACGGAUUGGGAUCGCUCCUCUCACCGUGGGCUCCAGUCAGCCUGCUCCGCGGCUGUGCUCAGGGCACAGAAAAACCUACAAGACAUAUUCAAAAGCAGAGAAUUGUCCUUUUAAAUAAGUAAGCAUACUGAGAGACCAGAAGGCCUUAGGAAUCUGCCACACAAUCUUCAUUCCUGGGACAGACAUUGCUUCAGCUUUCCAACUUCUGAGGAUGACAAAAGAUUAUAUAUUGCAUUGGGACUUAGUAUCUAUGAAAGAAGAUAAAAGAGGUAUUAAAUGUAUGACACUGAGAUUCCCCAAAGUUAGAGACUGGGCAGGAAAAGACAUGCAAAGGGGAAAGGCUCACCAGUGACAACAACCUUGGGCUCCACUGGGACCUGGGAACAGAAGCAGUGUUAAGUCUACAACCAGGAGAGGAACUUGAAAAGAUCUGCCACACAUCUGCCUGCCUGGACACAAACAGGAGAAGAACUUGCCUGUUGGAAGCCCUGUCUCUGGGGUCUUGUGAGUCAAGGAGAGAGGGCUCUUGUGCCUCACAGGACUAUUUAAAAGUCGGCCAAAGGAAGACCAGAGGCUGCUAUAAAAGGACUUUCCCUGACCGGGAAUCGAACCCGGGCCGCGGCGGUGAAAGCGCCGAAUCCUAGCCACUAGACCACCAGGGAGACUUAUGAAUACCCCAAUUGACCACUUGAAGCAAACUCCACAGAGGACACUUGACUCGCUUUCUAAAGCCGACAGGUCAGGCAUUGAGCCCACCAUCGUCAUCUCUCCCAUCCACUGCCCGGGUGAAACCAGCAGACAGCGGAGCGCAUACGGAAUCCAUUCCGUAUGCACUCCUUCGCACCAAGUGCGCCAGGAUGACACAUCUCUCCCUCCGAGUUUCGGAUUCCUCGUGGGUAAACUGUCGGUUUGACAGGGAGCACCCACCCCCACCCCGUCACCUCCAGCACUACAGCGCGCACGAUCCGAAGACCUCCAGGGACGGAUUAGGAUCGCUCCUCUCACCGUGGGCUCCAGUCAGCCUGCUCCGCGGCUGUGCUCAGGGUCUCACUGUGUAGCCCUCACUGGUCUGGGACGCGCCUUGUAGACCAGGUUGGUCCUCCAGCUCAAGGAGCUCCGAAUUCCUCUGCUUCCCGAGUGUAGUGACUAAAGCGUGCUCCACCUCCGCCCAGAAAGCCGUUUUUUUUGAGCGACUGUAACUGGUGGGAUAGCUAACAAGGUCCUGUCCAGAGAGCUUGGAACAUACGGAAUACUGCUAAGGGCUUAGAGAACAAGCUGACGAAGUCCCUGGUGGAUUUGUCACUAGGAAAGUCUUGUGUUGUAUCCAGUGAGUGCAACUCUGGCUGCUCGCAAAUCUCCAGCCACUGCGUGUCCGAGUUCUAUAGCAGCAAAGUGUUCGCCAGUGGAAGCGUGAGCCAGAAGCCUGCCAGUUUUUCCCGAGCAGGAAGACUGCGGCCCUGACGGACCCCGGGCGGGCACCGAAGGAACCCCUCGCGGAGGGACCGCGCGUCCUCCUCCUUGCGAUACCGUAUCGAGGGACUCCCGCUCUGGCCUGAGGUCCCGAAUGUCACGAAUGUUUCCCGUUCCAUAACGAAGCGGCCACAUGCUUGCACCACACAUCCCCGCUGACUCUCGGGCUCCCAUCGCCGGAGGAAUCGUCGGGUCUCGAGGUCCAAACCAAGCGGAACGGGGGCGGCCUAUGACUGUGGACCCCGGGAGGCUGCCGGGGUUCCUUCGCGCGGAGUAGGACACGGUGCAAACUGCAGACGCCGUUGUCCUGGAGUUUUUCCGAGGAUGAGCGCGUCCAGCAGCGAGAACCUAAGACGCCAUUCUCUCCCUGUCAUCCGCUCCUUGAAUAGCUCUAGCACUUGGCAGACAGAGAUUCCCACCAUUUCUGGCCUGUUUCUUGUUUGUUUGUUUGUUUGUUUCACUACCUAAUGAAUAGUAUCCAACUACACCUUGGUGAUUUGACAGUGUAAAUCCUACAGCACUUGGAGAAAGUCCACCAACCUAAAUAGCCAAUUGAAGCAAGUGUGUGUGUGUGUCAGAAGCAGAAUAUAAGCAAACAAGUUGGUCAUAAAAAAACGUCCUGAAACAAAGGCCCGAUGUCUUUUCCUGGAGGCGGCAGUGCAGAACUAUUUGUAAUUAAGGUUACAAGUGGUCACAGCUUAAUCCUUGAAAAACAGAGAUUUAGUCAUAAACAGCAAAGAACCUAGUUUGUCUUUAUUAUAAACCGGCUUUUAACCCCAAGUUGGGGGCAGGCUGGUUUGUCAGCAGUCCUGUGGGAGAGCAAUGACUUAGGGGCAUUUGUCAGGUUUUAAAGGUCAGAAUGAGAGACCAACAGGCUAUGUCCCUGAGUACAAGAUCGGAAAGAAAGGCAUGGAGACAAAAGACCUGAAACCAAUACCUGUGAAAACUGAAAAACAAAACAAUUUUUAACUCAACAAAGCUGGUUCUUGGGAAAGAUGGGUAAUCUCUGUCUCUUGUCACUGCUCCUGUGUCUGUUUGACUGGGGCCUGACUUCUACCCCAAGCACAUCCUUCUCUUUCUCAGCCUUGAGCCUUGAUUUCGCCUCCUACUAAUUCUUUCUGCCUGCCAGUCCCACUUAUCCUCUCCCCCCUAGCUGUUGGACAUUCAGGCUUUUUAUUAGACCAAUCAGGUGCCUCAGGCAGGCUAGGUGAAACAAAUGCAACACAUCCUUAAGCAAUUAAACAAAGGUAACACACCUUUACACAGUUAAAGUGAUAUCCACAGCAUAAACAAAUGUAACAAAUCUUUACAUGGUUAAAUAUUCCACAACAGGCCAGCUCGCAACAGAAGCAAGAGAGAUCUGACUCAACAAGUUGUUCUUUGACCUCCGCACUGUCACCUUGGCAUGUAUGUGCUCUCAUUCCCAUGUCACACACACACACAAUGCACACACAUGCUCACAUAUGUACACACACAGAUUCAGACUCACUGUGAGGAAUUGUCACAGCACACAGACUGAGUUCAAAAUCUGCAGUAGGCUAGGUGGAGAUACAGGAGAACUGAUGGAAUCAUUCCCAUCCCAGUUCAAGUCCACAGUGAAAAGAUUGAUUUCCCAGCUCAAGGAUAGUCAAGCAGAGAGAACUUCUUUCUUGAUCUUUAUUUUAUUCAGGCUUCAAGAGUUUGCUGAGGUUCAUCUACUGUGGGGAGCACAGUGUGGUU